rnacentral:rRNA from 1 species
UAGGGAAUAUUAGUAAUGGGCGAAAGCCUGAACUAGCAACACCGCGUGUGCGAAGAAGGCCUUCGGGUUGUAAAGCACUUUUUGAGAGGAUGAGGAAGGACGGUACUCUCAGAAUAAGUCUCGGGUAACUACGUGCCAGCAGCCGCGGUAACACGUAGGAGGCGAACGUUAUCCGGAUUUACUGGGCGUAAAGCGCGUGUAGGUGGUUCUGUAAGUAGGGCGUGAAAGCUCCUGGCUCAACUGGGAGAGGCCGUUCUAAACUGCAGAGCUAGAGGAUGGUAGAGGGAGGUGGAAUUCCGGGUGUAGCGGUGGAAUGCGCAGAGAUCCGGAGGAACACCAGUGGCGAAAGCGGCCUCCUGGACCACUCCUGACACUCAGACGCGAAAGCUAGGGUAGCAAACG